GGACACUGUGCCUAAGAGUUAAUGAUUCCACUGCUGAUAUUUCCCAGAAUAUUUCAUUCUUUCUUUUCUGUUAGGCAAAGACCCAAGGGGGUUAGGUCUGGAAAGCAACACAAAACAUGAACCACUCCCUCCUUGGACCUUUUCUGCAAGAUGAAGGGAGAGAGCAGAAGGCAUAUGUGAGCUGUUUACCUUUUUUGACCAGUGCAUGGUCUAGAAGGCGUCCCCACUGGCCCCUGUGAACCGUGGAGAUGGCCAGGGCACACUCCUGGGAACACACGAGUGCCAACGUCCCAUGCUGCAGCAGACGGCAAGUGAGCAGAGAGGAAAGCACACAGUCCUUUCUUCUGACCAGGCACUAUUGACCGGGCCUCCUCUUCGGGCAGCCAAGAUUUUCUACAUCAGGGGGUUGAGAUCUUUCCGGAGACAGGCAUGCUGUCUUCAGGGCACAUGGCACACGAAGAUAAGCCUUCAGUUGAGUUGCUUUGCCUCGCUGGGUCUUAGAAGAUCUGGUGAUGUGUG
rnacentral:lncRNA from 1 species